AUUGAACGCUGGCGGCAUGCCUUACACAUGCAAGUCGAACGGCAGCACGGGAGCAAUCCUGGUGGCGAGUGGCGAACGGGUGAGUAAUACAUCGGAACGUGUCCUGUAGUGGGGGAUAGCCCGGCGAAAGCCGGAUUAAUACCGCAUACGAUCUACGGAAGAAAGCGGGGGAUCCUUCGGGACCUCGCGCUAUAGGGGUGGCCGAUGGCGGAUUAGCUAGUUGGUGGGGUAAAGGCCUACCAAGGCGACGAUCCGUAGCUGGUCUGAGAGGACGACCAGCCACACUGGGACUGAGACACGGCCCAGACUCCUACGGGAGGCAGCAGUGGGGAAUUUUGGACAAUGGGCGAAAGCCUGAUCCAGCAAUGCCGCGUGUGUGAAGAAGGCCUUCGGGUUGUAAAGCACUUUUGUCCGGAAAGAAAUCCCUGGUCCUAAUAUGGCCGGGGGAUGACG
rnacentral:rRNA from 1 species